UUUGUGAUGAAAAUUUCCCCAAGGGGACCUUCUAGCGCCUAGCACCUUCGAUGCUCCUGUUUCAGUCGCGGUCUCAGCGGGCAGUGGCCUCCUUUGAAGCUGGGAUUCUCCUGCCCCUCCCGGGCAGCGCAGGCCACCGGUGACCCGGGACGGUCUGUAAACGACCUUCGCGUCCCCGUCCCCGUGGAAUAACGCGCGGCGGGCAUCACUGCCCAAUAUCCAGCGCUCGUGAAGGCGGAGACCGGCGG
rnacentral:lncRNA from 1 species